rnacentral:rRNA from 1 species
AACGAACGCUGGCGGCGUGCCUAACACAUGCAAGUCGUACGAGAAACACGUCCUUCGGGAUGUGGAGUAAAGUGGCGCACGGGUGAGUAACACGUGGGUAACCUGCCUCGGGGACCGGGAUAACUGGCCGAAAGGCCCGCUAAUACCGGAUAAGACCACAUGAGCUUCGGCUCAAGGGGUCAAAGUCGGCCUCUCGAAGAAGCCGGCGCCCAGGGAUGGGAUCGCGGACCAUUAGCUUGUUGGUAGGGUAACGGCCUACCAAGGCCAAGAUGGUUAGCUGGUCUGAGAGAAUGAUCAGACACACUGGAACUGAGACCCGGUCCAGACUCCUACGGGAGGCAGCAGUGAGGAAUAUUGCGAAAUGGGGGCAACCCUGACGCAGCAACGCCGCGGGGGUGAAGAAGGCUUUCGGGUUGUAAAGCCCUGUCAGGUGGGAAGAAACCUUUGCAGGAGAAUAGUCUGCGAAACUGACGGUACCACCAAAGGAAGCACCGGCUAACUCCGUGCCAGCAGCCGCCGUAAUAC